CUGUGCUGGACUGGAGGAUCCUCACUGUAAACUGGAGAAACUGUGGUUGAGUGAUUGUGGCGUCACAGAUGAAGGUUGUGCUGCUCUGACUUCAGCUCUGAGAUCAAACCCCUCACACCUGAGAGAACUGAGUCUGAUUGGGAAUAAUCUAGGAGAAUCAGAAGUGAAGUUACUCUCUGAUCUGAAAGAUGAUUCAGAUUAUAAACUAGAGACAUUAUACUACUUGUAGGACUCUCAGUAUUUAGACGUCAGUUCAGUUUCCUCAGGAUCAGCUGAUGGUGAAUAAGAGCCGCUACAGAGACGUCACAGUCAUACAAUCAACAGAGACUGAAGACACAGAGACACACAGAUCACAGAGACUGAAAACACAGAGACACACAGAUCACAGAGACUGAAGACACA